GAUGAAGAACGUAGUGAAAUGCGAUAAGUAAUGUGAAUUGCAGAAUUCAGUGAAUCAUCGAAUCUUUGAACGCACAUUGCGCCCCCUGGUAUUCCGGGGGGCAUGCCUGUUCGAGCGUCAUUUCAACCCUCAUGCCCCUAGGGCGUGGUGUUGGGGAUCGGCCAAAGCCCGCGAGGGACGGCCGGCCCCUAAAUCUAGUGGCGGACCCGUCGUGGCCUCCUCUGCGAAGUAGUGAUAUUCCGCAUCGGAGAGCGACGAGCCCCUGCCGUUAAACCCCCAACUUUCCAAGGUUGACCUCAGAUCAGGUAGGAAUACCCGCUGAACUUAAGCAUAUCAAUAAGCGGAGGA
rnacentral:misc_RNA from 1 species